rnacentral:misc_RNA from 1 species
GAAAUGCGAUAAGUAAUGUGAAUUGCAGAAUUCAGUGAAUCAUCGAAUCUUCGAACGCACAUUGCGCCCCCUGGCAUUCCGGGGGGCAUGCCUGUUCGAGCGUCAUUACACCACUCAAGCCUGGCUUGGUAUUGAGCGCCGCGGCCUGCCCGCGCGCUCCAAUGUCUCCGGCUGAGCCGUCCGUCUCUAAGCGUUGUGAAUAGCGAUCGCUUGCGAGGCCCGGGCGGUUCGACGCCGUUAAACCCCCCAUUUUCUAUGGUUGACCUCGGAUCAGGUAGGGAUACCCGCUGAACUUAAGC